GAGGGUGUAGCUCAGUGGUAGAGCGCAUACUUAGCAUGUACAAGGUCCUGGAUUCAAUCCCCAGCAUCUCCA
rnacentral:tRNA from 1 species